CCUACGGGAGGCAGCAGUAGGGAAUUUUCGGCAAUGGGGGGAACCCUGACCGAGCAACGCCGCGUGAACGAAGAAGUUAUUCGUAAUGUAAAGUUCUUUUAACAGGGAAGAAAGAGAAAUCUGACGGUACCUGAAGAAUAAGCUCCGGCUAACUACGUGCCAGCAGCCGCGGUAAUACGUAGGGAGCGUGCGGUAUCCGGAUUUAUUGGUCGUAAAGGGUGCGUAGAUGGCAUAGUAAGUCUUUGGUAAAAGUGCUGGGAUCAACCCAGUAGGGCAAAAGAUACUGCAAAGCUAGAGUGUAACAGAGGCAAGUGGAACUACAUGUGUAGCGGUAAAAUGCGUAGAUAUAUGUAAGAACACCAGUGGCGAAGGCGGCUUACUGGGUCGAAACUGACAUUGAGGCACGAAAGCGUGGGGAGCAAACAGGAUUAGAUACCCGUGUAGUC
rnacentral:rRNA from 1 species